rnacentral:rRNA from 1 species
UACGGGGGGAGCAAGCGUUGUUCGGAUUUACUGGGCGUAAAGGGCGCGUAGGCGGCCACCGCAAGUCGACUGUGAAAUCUCCGGGCUUAACCCGGAAAGGUCAGCCGAUACUGCGGGGCUAGAGUGCAGAAGGGGCAACUGGAAUUCUCGGUGUAGCGGUGAAAUGCGUAGAUAUCGAGAGGAACACCAGUGGCGAAAGCGGCUCCUGGUCCAGCACCGACGUUCAGGCACGAAAGCGUGGGGAGCAAACAGG